AUGCGGGGCACUGCUGUGCUAGCGCUACCGCCGGUGAUGGUGGUGGCGCUGCUGCUGCUGCCGCAUGUGGCGCUCGGAGCCGGAGCCGUUGGUGGUGGAGGCGGCGAGGGGGGCUGCGAGCGGCGCUGCGGGCGCAUGAAACUCCCCUACCCGUUCGGCUUCUCCAGCGGCUGCACCAUACAGCUCGGCUGCGACGACGACGACACCGACGACGUCGCGUGGCUCGGGCACGCGCGCGAGCUGGGACUGUUCGUGCGCAACGUCACGGCGCGCGCGAUCACCGUCGGCCUAAGCCCCGACUGCUCCCGCCAGUUCAAUAGUUCCGUCGCGGCGCUCUUCUCUGGCAAUCACGCGCCCUGCGCCUGGAACACCCUCCUCGUUAGGUCAUGCAGCCCAGCCGCUCAGGAUCAGGAUGCCAACAUCAAGAGCUGCAAGGUCCCGCCUGAAUACUACGGGCGCUGGUCCCACUCCCACUGCAGCGCCGACGAGUCCUUCAGCUGCAUCGUCCAACGGCCUUCCAACACAAGCGGCCGCCAUUUUCUAAAUAGAAACGAGUUGCUCCGCUUCGAGUGCACUGAGCUGGUCUCGUCGAUCAUCAGAUACGUGGAUGCAUCGGAGCCGCAGCUGGCGGUUCUGCUGGACGAGCUGGAGCUGGACUGGUGGGUGCAGGGGCAGUGCCGCUGCUCAAGCCACGCCAACUGCACCGCGUUUACCGCACCGACCACGGGGCAACAGGCGUUCCGGUGUGAAUGCCGGGAGGGGUUCGAAGGCGACGGCUUCAUCGACGGUAUCGGUUGCCUGGGACCGGGAGGCUCAAAGAAAGCAAGAAAAAAAAUAUAUAUAAUAGCAAGUACUUUGAGCAUACUUGCGAUAUGUCUACCUUCCGCAUGUUUGCUGGGCUACAAGGUAUACAGGUCAAGAAAGAGAUCGAAGGAAACACCAAGGAUUGAGUCGUUCCUACAAAAGAAUGCAGGAGUAUAUCCAAAAAGAUACACUUACGCACAAGUGAAGAAGAUGACAGGGACCUUUGCUGAAAAGCUAGGUCAAGGUGGAUUUGGUGUUGUUUACAGAGGUGGCCUCUCCAGUGGCCGUCAGAUAGCAGUCAAGAUGCUUAAGAACUCCAAGUCUGAUGUUGAGGAAUUCAUCAAUGAGGUAGCCAGCAUCAGCACAACUUCUCAUGUCAACGUUGUUACCCUCUUAGGAUUUUGCUUUGAAGGAUCCAAGAGGGCACUAAUCUAUGACUAUAUGCCUAAUGGUUCGCUUGAAAGAUAUGCUUUCAAACACAGUUCUAAGGGUGAACAUAUUCUAAGUUGGGAGAAAUUAUUUGAUAUAGCAGUUGGUAUUGCUCGUGGACUUGAAUAUCUCCACCGAGGAUGCAAUACUCGCAUAGUGCAUUUUGAUAUCAAACCCCACAACAUUCUAUUGGAUCAAGAUUUUUGUCCUAAGAUCUCUGAUUUUGGGAUGGCCAAAUUGUGCCAGAAUAAAGAAAGUGUUGUCUCCAUUGGUGGUGCAAGAGGAACAAUUGGCUAUAUUGCCCCCGAGGUCUACUCAAAGCAAUUUGGAGCAGUAAGUAGCAAGUCUGAUGUCUACAGUUAUGGAAUGAUGGUCCUUGAGAUGGUUGGGGCAAGGGAUAAGAGAAUCAAUGCAAAUAGUGAAUGUAGCAGCCAAUAUUUCCCGCAGUGGAUUUAUGAAAAUUUAGAUGAAUACUGUCUUGGUGCUUCUGAGAUUAAUGGCGAGAUCAAAGAGAUUGCAAGGAAGAUGAUAGUUGUUGGGUUGUGGUGUAUACAGCUAAGUGCUAGUAAUCGACCAACUAUGACUAGAGUCGUCGAGAUGCUAGAAGGAAGCACAGGUAGCCUGGAAUUACCACCACAAGUGCUCUUAAGUUGA
rnacentral:rRNA from 1 species